rnacentral:rRNA from 1 species
UCGAGGAUCUUCGGCAAUGGGGGCAACCCUGACCGAGCGACGCCGCGUGGAUGAUGAAGGCCUUCGGGUUGUAAAAUCCUGUCGAGGGGGAGGAAACCGCAAGGUUGACCCAUCCCUGGAGGAAGCUCGGGCUAAGUUCGUGCCAGCAGCCGCGGUAAGACGAACCGAGCGAACGUUGUUCGGAAUCACUGGGCAUAAAGGGUGCGUAGGCGGGCCACCAAGUCUGUGGUGAAAUUCUCUGGCUUAACCAGAGUAGUGCCGCGGAUACUGGGGGCCUCGAGGGGGGUAGGGGCAUGCGGAACUCUGGGUGGAGCGGUGAAAUGCGUUGAGAUCCAGAGGAACUCCGGUGGCGAAGGCGGCAUGCUGGACCUUUUCUGACGCUGAGGCACGAAAGCCAGGGGAGCGAACGG